AGUGAACGCUGGCGGCAGGCCUAAUACAUGCAAGUCGAACGGCAGCACAGCAGAGCUUGCUCUGUGGGUGGCGAGUGGCGGACGGGUGAGGAAUACAUGGGAAUCUGCCCAGUCGUGGGGGAUAACGUAUGGAAACGUACGCUAAUACCGCAUGCGCCCUACGGGGGAAAGCCGGGGACCGAAAGGCCUGGCGCGAUUGGAUGAGCCCAUGUUCGAUUAGCUAGUUGGCGGGGUAAAGGCCCACCAAGGCGACGAUCGAUAGCUGGUCUGAGAGGAUGAUCAGCCACACUGGAACUGAGACACGGUCCAGACUCCUACGGGAGGCAGCAGUAGGGAAUAUUGGACAAUGGGGGCAACCCUGAUCCAGCCAUGCCGCGUGAGUGAAGAAGGCCCUCGGGUUGUAAAGCUCUUUUGUCCGGAAAGAAAAGCAUUCGGUUAAUACCCGGUGUUCUGACGGUACCGGAAGAAUAAGCACCGGCUAACUUCGUGCCAGCAGCCG
rnacentral:rRNA from 1 species